rnacentral:rRNA from 1 species
ACUAAGCGUACACGGUGGAUGCCCUGGCAGUCAGAGGCGAUGAAGGACGUGCUAAUCUGCGAAAAGCGUCGGUAAGGUGAUAUGAACCGUUAUAACCGGCGAUGUCCGAAUGGGGAAACCCAGUGCAAUUCGUUGCACUAUCGUUAACUGAAUACAUAGGUUAACGAGGCGAACCGGGGGAACUGAAACAUCUAAGUACCCCGAGGAAAAGAAAUCAACCGAGAUUCCCCCAGUAGCGGCGAGCGAACGGGGAGCAGCCCAGAGUCUGAAUCAGCUUGUGUGUUAGUGGAACGGUCUGGAAAGUCCGACGGUACAGGGUGAUAGUCCCGUACACCAAAAUGCACAGGCUGUGAACUCGAAGAGUAGGGCGGGACACGUGGUAUCCUGUCUGAAUAUGGGGGGACCAUCCUCCAAGGCUAAAUACUCCUGACUGACCGAUAGUGAACCAGUACCGUGAGGGAAAGGCGAAAAGAACCCCGGCGAGGGGAGUGAAAAAGAACCUGAAACCGUGUACGUACAAGCAGUGGGAGCACCUUCGGGUGUGACUGCGUACCUUUUGUAUAAUGGGUCAGCGACUUAUAUUCUGUAGCAAGGUUAACCGUAUAGGGGAGCCGCAGGGAAACCGAGUCUUAACUGGGCGUUAAGUUGCAGGGUAUAGACCCGAAACCCGGUGAUCUAGCCAUGGGCAGGUUGAAGGUUGGGUAACACUAACUGGAGGACCGAACCGACUAAUGUUGAAAAAUUAGCGGAUGACUUGUGGCUGGGGGUGAAAGGCCAAUCAAACCGGGAGAUAGCUGGUUCUCCCCGAAAGCUAUUUAGGUAGCGCCUCGUGAACUCAUCUUCGGGGGUAGAGCACUGUUUCGGCUAGGGGGUCAUCCCGACUUACCAACCCGAUGCAAACUACGAAUACCGAAGAAUGUUAUCACGGGAGACACACGGCGGGUGCUAACGUCCGUCGUGAAGAGGGAAACAACCCAGACCGCCAGCUAAGGUCCCAAAGUCAUGGUUAAGUGGGAAACGAUGUGGGAAGGCACAGACAGCCAGGAUGUUGGCUUAGAAGCAGCCAUCAUUUAAAGAAAGCGUAAUAGCUCACUGGUCGAGUCGGCCUGCGCGGAAGAUGUAACGGGGCUAAACCAUGCACCGAAGCUGCGGCAGCGACACUAUGUGUUGUUGGGUAGGGGAGCGUUCUGUAAGCCUGCGAAGGUGUGCUGUGAGGCAUGCUGGAGGUAUCAGAAGUGCGAAUGCUGACAUAAGUAACGAUAAAGCGGGUGAAAAGCCCGCUCGCCGGAAGACCAAGGGUUCCUGUCCAACGUUAAUCGGGGCAGGGUGAGUCGACCCCUAAGGCGAGGCCGAAAGGCGUAGUCGAUGGGAAACAGGUUAAUAUUCCUGUACUUGGUGUUACUGCGAAGGGGGGACGGAGAAGGCUAUGUUAGCCGGGCGACGGUUGUCCCGGUUUAAGCAUGUAGGCUGAUUGUCCAGGCAAAUCCGGAUAAUCAAGGCUGAGGUGUGAUGACGAGGCACUACGGUGCUGAAGUAACAAAUGCCCUGCUUCCAGGAAAAGCCUCUAAGCAUCAGGUAACAUCAAAUCGUACCCCAAACCGACACAGGUGGUCAGGUAGAGAAUACCAAGGCGCUUGAGAGAACUCGGGUGAAGGAACUAGGCAAAAUGGUGCCGUAACUUCGGGAGAAGGCACGCUGGUGUGUAGGUGAAGUCCCUGCGGAUGGAGCUGAGACCAGUCGAAGAUACCAGCUGGCUGCAACUGUUUAUUAAAAACACAGCACUGUGCAAACACGAAAGUGGACGUAUACGGUGUGACGCCUGCCCGGUGCCGGAAGGUUAAUUGAUGGGGUUAUCCGUAAGGAGAAGCUCUUGAUCGAAGCCCCGGUAAACGGCGGCCGUAACUAUAACGGUCCUAAGGUAGCGAAAUUCCUUGUCGGGUAAGUUCCGACCUGCACGAAUGGCGUAAUGAUGGCCAGGCUGUCUCCACCCGAGACUCAGUGAAAUUGAACUCGCUGUGAAGAUGCAGUGUACCCGCGGCAAGACGGAAAGACCCCGUGAACCUUUACUAUAGCUUGACACUGAACAUUGAGCCUUGAUGUGUAGGAUAGGUGGGAGGCUUUGAAGCGUGGACGCCAGUCUGCGUGGAGCCAACCUUGAAAUACCACCCUUUAAUGUUUGAUGUUCUAACGUUGGCCCCUGACCGGGGUUGCGGACAGUGUCUGGUGGGUAGUUUGACUGGGGCGGUCUCCUCCCAAAGCGUAACGGAGGAGCACGAAGGUUAGCUAAUCCUGGUCGGACAUCAGGAGGUUAGUGCAAUGGCAUAAGCUAGCUUGACUGCGAGCGUGACGGCGCGAGCAGGUGCGAAAGCAGGUCAUAGUGAUCCGGUGGUUCUGAAUGGAAGGGCCAUCGCUCAACGGAUAAAAGGUACUCCGGGGAUAACAGGCUGAUACCGCCCAAGAGUUCAUAUCGACGGCGGUGUUUGGCACCUCGAUGUCGGCUCAUCACAUCCUGGGGCUGAAGUAGGUCCCAAGGGUAUGGCUGUUCGCCAUUUAAAGUGGUACGCGAGCUGGGUUUAGAACGUCGUGAGACAGUUCGGUCCCUAUCUGCCGUGGGCGCUGGAGAAUUGAGGGGGGCUGCUCCUAGUACGAGAGGACCGGAGUGGACGCAUCACUGGUGUUCGGGUUGUCAUGCCAAUGGCACUGCCCGGUAGCUAAAUGCGGAAGAGAUAAGUGCUGAAAGCAUCUAAGCACGAAACUUGCCCCGAGAUGAGUUCUCCCUGAGACUAUAAGUCUCCUGAAGGAACGUUAAAGACGAUGACGUUGAUAGGCCGGGUGUGUAAGCGCAGCGAUGCGUUGAGCUAACCGGUACUAAUGAACCGUGAGGCUUAACC